UGGAUCCAGACUUUGAUUCUGGCUCAGGACGAACGCUGGCGGCGUGCUUAACACAUGCAAGUCGAACGGAGAACUUAUUUCGGUAAGUUCUUAGUGGCGAACGGGUGAGUAACGCGUGGGCAACCUGCCCUCCAGUUGGGGACAACAUUCCGAAAGGGAUGCUAAUACCGAAUAUGCUCCCUCCUCCGCAUGGAGGAGGGAGGAAAGAUGGCCUCUGCUUGCAAGCUAUCGCUGGAAGAUGGGCCCGCGUCUGAUUAGCUAGUUGGUGGGGUAACGGCUCACCAAGGCGAUGAUCAGUAGCCGGUCUGAGAGGAUGAACGGCCACAUUGGGACUGAGACACGGCCCAAACUCCUACGGGAGGCAGCAGUGGGGAAUCUUCCGCAAUGGACGAAAGUCUGACGGAGCAACGCCGCGUGAGUGAUGAAGGUCUUCGGAUUGUAAAACUCUGUUGUUAGGGACGAAAGCACCGUGUUCGAACAGGUCAUGGUGUUGACGGUACCUAACGAGGAAGCCACGGCUAACUACGUGCCAGCAGCCGCGGUAAUACGUAGGUGGCAAGCGUUGUCCGGAAUUAUUGGGCGUAAAGAGCAUGUAGGCGGGCUUUUAAGUCUGACGUGAAAAUGCGGGGCUUAACCCCGUAUGGCGUUGGAUACUGGAAGUCUUGAGUGCAGGAGAGGAAAGGGGAAUUCCCAGUGUAGCGGUGAAAUGCGUAGAUAUUGGGAGGAACACCAGUGGCGAAGGCGCCUUUCUGGACUGUGUCUGACGCUGAGAUGCGAAAGCCAGGGUAGCAAACGGGAUUAGAUACCCCGGUAGUCCUGGCCGUAAACGAUGGAUACUAGGUGUAGGAGGUAUCGACCCCUUCUGUGCCGGAGUUAACGCAAUAAGUAUCCCGCCUGGGGACUACGAUCGCAAGAUUGCAACUCAAAGGAAUUGACGGA
rnacentral:rRNA from 1 species